rnacentral:misc_RNA from 1 species
GGCAAGCUUCAUAGAUGGCCUACUAGCAAAGACGGGAUCAUGAGUCCUCAUGACCUCACGCGCGGCUUCAGGAGACGAGACAACAAGAGCCGGGAUGCUGCCGAGGCGCAGGAACAUGAGGGGGCAGAGCUUGUCGGAGAGCGCACGGAGGGAGCGGUGUUGGAGGGAUCCCAGUUGGUGGAGGUUUCCGAUGAUGGGAAGCAUGGGUGGGGAUGGUGGAAGAGUAGGGGAGUAUCCAUAGAUGGUGGACUUGAGAAGACGGUACAGAGGAAGAAGAAAGAAAGCAAAGAGGAGAAUUGUCGGAGACAUCUUCU